CCUACGGGUGGCAGCAGUAGGGAAUUUUGCGCAAUGGGCGAAAGCCUGACGCAGCAACGCCGCGUGAUUGAUUAAGCCCUUCGGGGUGUAAAGAUCUGUCAGUGGGGACGAAACUUGACGGUACCCACAGAGGAAGCACCGGCUAACUCCGUGCCAGGAGCCGCGGUAAUACGGAGGGUGCACGCGUUGUCCGGAAUCAUUGGGCGUAAAGAGUUCGUAAGUGGUAUAUUAAGGCUGGUGGUAAAUGAAGAAGCUCAACUUCUGUUCGGCACUGGAUACUGGUAAGCUUGAGUGCGGUAGAGGUAAGGGGAAUUCGUGGUGUAGCGGUGAAAUGCGUAGAUAUCAGGAGGAACACCGGUGGCGUAGGCGGUUUACUGGACCGUAAUUGACGCUGAGGAACGAAAGCCUGGGUAGCAAAUGGGAUUAGAUACCCGAGUAGUC
rnacentral:rRNA from 1 species